rnacentral:rRNA from 1 species
AGUGCUACCGGGCGACCGGAUGCGGAUCUCGAAAGCCUGUCCCAGUUCGGACUGGAGUCUGCAACCCGACUCCACGAAGUUGGAUUCGCUAGUAAUCGCGCAUCAGCCAUGGCGCGGUGAAUACGUUCCCGGGCCUUGUACACACCGCCCGUCAAGCCAUGGGAGCCGGGGGCGCCUGAAGUCCGGGACCGCGAGGACCGGCCUAGGGCGAAACUGGUAACUGGGGCUAAGUCGUAACAAGGUACC